GAUUUCUGGCCUGAAACAUUUUGCCGGCCACGGUUUCGUGUGUUAGUGCUUUGUGUUCUGGCCAUCCUUCCAAUCGCUAUUCAGCUUUCUUCAUUGAUUGUUGAGUGGUAUUGGAUCUUUUACUUUGAAAAAAUUAGAGUGUUUAAAGCAGGCUUACGCUAUGAAUACAUUAGCAUGGAAUAAUAAUAUAGGACUUUGGUUCUAUUUUGUUGGUUUCUAGGACUGAAGUAAUGAUUGAUAGGGAUAGUUGGGGGUGCUAGUAUUCAGUGGCCAGAGGUGAAAUUCUUGGAUUCACUGAAGACUAACUACUGCGAAAGCAUU
rnacentral:rRNA from 1 species